rnacentral:rRNA from 1 species
UGAGUAACACGUUGGAACCUGCCCCAAAGUGAGGAAUAAGCCACCGAAAGGUGGUCUAAUACUUCAUAAUAUCCAUCUCGUAUGGAUUAAAGCUUUAUGCGCUUUGGGAGGGGCCUGCGUAACAUUAGCUUGUUGGUGAGGUAAAAGCUCACCAAGGCUUCGAUGUUUAACUGGUUUGAGAGGAUGACCAGUCACACUGGGACUGAGAUACGGCCCAGACUCCUACGGGAGGCAGCAGUAAGGAAUCUUCCACAAUGGAGGCAACCCUGAUGGAGCAAUACCGCGUGCAGGGUGAAGCGUUUCGGCGUGUAAACUGCUUUUAUCACCGAAGAUUAUGACUGUAGGUGAAGAAUAAGGACCGGCUAACUACGUG